AUUAAACGUUGCUCUGUAUCGUAUUGCAUUCAAUCUAAAUUUAAAUUAAUUUGUCUAUAAAUGGCCUAAUUUUAUGUUUUAAUUGAUGUUGUUAUAAUGUUGGAUUAUCGGAUAUAUAUGCACAUUAGAAAAGCGAAAUGGGAUUUAAGAAGGAGGAACGACGCCGUAUCUCUAACAACUCACAGGCUCAAGUUUAAGAACAACGGGUGGAACAUACAAUUCAUUAAUUCAACCAUGGCAAGGAUUAGUUUUGCUAUGUGUGCAAUGCUGGCGGUCAUCCAAGUUGCGAGAACAGCUAAUGUUACCUGCUACAAUUGUAACAGCUCAACCGACCCUAGUUGUAAGGACCCCUUCACCGCAACUAAUACCACAACAUGUUCCGACGCAUGCGUGAAAGCCAAACUCGGAAGCGUUGUAACCAGAGGUUGCUCCGGCAGCGGAUCGGGCGAUCGCUGUUUUACUCUAUUGGGUGCAGGCACAUGUAUUUGUUCAAAAGACCUCUGCAACAUUGCCAGUCAGGUCACCGUUACCAUGGGGACAAUGAUAAUCGUCUCAACGUUUUUUCUCGUGAGCAAAAUGAUUUAAUGUGGUUUAUGUUCUAACUGUGAUAUGACUUACAUUAAAUAUCGUUGUUUUCAAUUGUAGUGUAAGCAUAUCGUUGUUUUCAAUUGUAGUGUAAGCCUAUAAUACUUUUGUUCAUUGAGUUAUCAUGAAUAUAUGACGUGAACAAAUAAACUUGGGAAGUGUUA